UAUAAUGGGUCAGCGACUUAUAUUCUGUAGCAAGGUUAACCGCAUAGGGGAGCCGAAGGGAAACCGAGUCUUAACCGGGCGUUAAGUUGCAGGGUAUAGACCCGAAACCCGGUGAUCUAGCCAUGGGCAGGUUGAAGGUUGGGUAACACUAACUGGAGGACCGAACCGACUAAUGUUGAAAAAUUAGCGGAUGACCUGUGGCUGGGGGUGAAAGGCCAAUCAAACCGGGAGAUAGCUGGUUCUCCCCGAAAGCUAUUUAGGUAGCGCCUCGUGAAUUCAUCUCCGGGGGUAGAGCACUGUUUCGGCUAGGGGGCCAUCCCGGCUUACCAACCCGAUGCAAACUGCGAAUACCGGAGAAUGUUAUCACGGGAGACACACGGCGGGUGCUAACGUCCGUCGUGAAGAGGGAAACAACCCAGACCGCCAGCUAAGGUCCCAAAGUCAUGGUUAAGUGGGAAACGAUGUGGGAAGGCCCAGACAGCCAGGAUGUUGGCUUAGAAGCAGCCAUCAUUUAAAGAAAGCGUAAUAGCUCACUGGUCGAGUCGGCCUGCGCGGAAGAUGUAACGGGGCUAAACCAUGCACCGAAGCUGCGGCAGCGACACUUUAGUGUUGUUGGGUAGGGGAGCGUUCUGUAAGCCGUUGAAGGUGUCCUGUGAGGGGUGCUGGAGGUAUCAGAAGUGCGAAUGCUGACAUAAGUAACGAUAAAGCGGGUGAAAAGCCCGCUCGCCGGAAGACCAAGGGUUCCUGUCCAACGUUAAUCGGGGCAGGGUGAGUCGACCCCUAAGGCGAGGCCGAAAGGCGUAGUCGAUGGGAAACGGGUUAAUAUUCCCGUACUUGGUGUUACUGCGAAGGGGGGACGGAGAAGGCUAUGUUGGCCGGGCGACGGUAGUCCCGGUUUAAGCGUGUAGGCUGGUUUUCCAGGCAAAUCCGGAAAAUCAAGGCUGAGGCGUGAUGACGAGGCACCACGGUGCUGAAGCAACAAAUGCCCUGCUUCCAGGAAAAGCCUCUAAGCAUCAGGUAACAUCAAAUCGUACCCCAAACCGACACAGGUGGUCAGGUAGAGAAUACCAAGGCGCUUGAGAGAACUCGGGUGAAGGAACUAGGCAAAAUGGUGCCGUAACUUCGGGAGAAGGCACGCUGACACGUAGGUGAAGUGAUUUACUCACGGAGCUGAAGUCAGUCGAAGAUACCAGCUGGCUGCAACUGUUUAUUAAAAACACAGCACUGUGCAAACACGAAAGUGGACGUAUACGGUGUGACGCCUGCCCGGUGCCGGAAGGUUAAUUGAUGGGGUCAGCGCAAGCGAAGCUCCUGAUCGAAGCCCCGGUAAACGGCGGCCGUAACUAUAACGGUCCUAAGGUAGCGAAAUUCCUUGUCGGGUAAGUUCCGACCUGCACGAAUGGCGUAAUGAUGGCCAGGCUGUCUCCACCCGAGACUCAGUGAAAUUGAACUCGCUGUGAAGAUGCAGUGUACCCGCGGCAAGACGGAAAGACCCCGUGAACCUUUACUAUAGCUUGACACUGAACAUUGAGCCUUGAUGUGUAGGAUAGGUGGGAGGCUUUGAAGCGUGGACGCCAGUCUGCGUGGAGCCGACCUUGAAAUACCACCCUUUAAUGUUUGAUGUUCUAACGUGGACCCGUAAUCCGGGUUGCGGACAGUGUCUGGUGGGUAGUUUGACUGGGGCGGUCUCCUCCUAAAGAGUAACGGAGGAGCACGAAGGUUGGCUAAUCCUGGUCGGACAUCAGGAGGUUAGUGCAAUGGCAUAAGCCAGCUUGACUGCGAGCGUGACGGCGCGAGCAGGUGCGAAAGCAGGUCAUAGUGAUCCGGUGGUUCUGAAUGGAAGGGCCAUCGCUCAACGGAUAAAAGGUACUCCGGGGAUAACAGGCUGAUACCGCCCAAGAGUUCAUAUCGACGGCGGUGUUUGGCACCUCGAUGUCGGCUCAUCACAUCCUGGGGCUGAAGUAGGUCCCAAGGGUAUGGCUGUUCGCCAUUUAAAGUGGUACGCGAGCUGGGUUUAGAACGUCGUGAGACAGUUCGGUCC
rnacentral:rRNA from 1 species